rfam:Operophtera brumata OBRT01_Sc13859, whole genome shotgun sequence.
CACUCGGCUCUUUUCAGAGCCACAAUACAUGAAGCUGGUUACUGAC